rnacentral:rRNA from 1 species
CUUGUAGUACUGGGACUCUAACCAUAGGCCAUGAAUCUGGUCUUGGGACACUGUCAGGUGGGCAGUUUGACUGGGGCGGUCGCCUCCCAAAAGGUAACGGAGGCGCUCAAAGGUUCUCUCAGUACGGUCGGAAAUCGUACGGAGAGUGUAAAGGCAAAAGAGAGCUUGAUUGCAAGACAUACAGGUCGAGCAAGGAUGAAAAUCGGACUUAGUGAGCCGGUGGUUCUGCGUGGAAGGGCCAUCGCUCAACGGAUAAAAGCUACCCUGGGGAUAACAGGCUUAUCUCCCCCAAGAGUCCACAUCGACGGGGAGGUUUGGCACCUCGAUGUCGGCUCAUCACAUCCUGGGGCUGUAGUAGGUCCCAAGGGUUGGG